CAGGAACCCACUACCAUCAGCACCAUGCCCUACCCAUAUCCAGCACUGACCCCGGAGCAGAAGAAGGAGCUGUGUGACAUCCCUCACUGCAUCAUGGCUCUGGGCAAGGGCAUCCUGGCAGCAGAUAAGUCUACCGGGUGUAUUGCCAAGUGGCUGCAGUCCAUCAGCACUGAGAACACAGGAGAAUCAGCACUUGUACCACCAGCUGCUCCUGAUCACCCACCGUGUGAAUCCCUGCAUCUGGGGUGCAUCCUCUUCCAUGAGACGCUCUACCAGAAUGCAGAUGAUGGGCGUCCCUUCCCUCAAGUUAUCAAAUCCAGAGGUGGAGUUGUGGGCAUCAAUGUAGACAAGGGUGAAGUGCCCCUGGCAGGAACAAAGAGUGAGGCUACUGCCCAAGGGCUGAGUGGGCUGAGUGCUAUGCCCAAUAUCAGAAGGACGAAGCUGACUUUGCCAAGUGGUUUUGUGUGCUAAAGAUUGGGGAACACACCCCCGCAGCCCUUGCCAUCAUGGAAAAUGCCAAUGUUCUGGCCCAUUAUGCCAGCGUCUGCCAGCAGAAUGGCACUGUGGCCAUUGUGGAGCCUGAGAUCCUCCCUGAUGGGGACCAUGACUUGAAGCGUUGUCAGUAUGCAACUGAGAAGGUGCUGCCUGCUGUGUAACAAGGCUCUGAGUGACCACUAUAUCUACCUGGAGGGCACCUUGCUGAAACCCAACAUGGUAACCCCAGGCCAUGCCUGCACCCAGAAGUAUUCUCAGGAGGAGAUUGCCAGGGCAGCCGUCACAGCACUGUCCUGCACAGUGUCCCCUGCUGUUCCUGGGGUCACUUUCCUAUCUGGAGGCCAGAGUAAGAAGGAGACAUCCAUCAAUUUCAAUGCCAUCAACAAGUGCGCCUGCGUUGGCCCUCACCUUCUCUUAUGGUCGUGCUGGGCUGGAAAGAAGGAGAAUCUGAAGGCUGCUCAGGAGGAGGAAUAUGUAAAGGGAGCCCUGGCUAACAGCCUUUACAGGCAUAGGUCUUAUUCUUUCAACACCCCAAGUGGUCAGGCUGGGGCCGCACCAGCGAGUCUCUCUUCAUCUCUAACCAUGCCCACUAAACAGAGGUAUUCUAAAGCUCCCCCCUCAACACUCUAGGCUCUUCCCCAUCCCGCACUUGGAGAAGGGGGGCUCAUCCAGGGCCCCAGGUGGUC